AUGAACGCUAGCUACAGGCUUAACACAUGCAAGUCGAGGGGCAGCAUGGUCUUAGCUUGCUAAGGCCGAUGGCGACCGGCGCACGGGUGAGUAACACGUAUCCAACCUGCCGUCUACUCUUGGACAGCCUUCUGAAAGGAAGAUUAAUACAAGAUGGCAUCAUGAGUCCGCAUGUUCACAUGAUUAAAGGUAUUCCGGUAGACGAUGGGGAUGCGUUCCAUUAGAUAGUAGGCGGGGUAACGGCCCACCUAGUCUUCGAUGGAUAGGGGUUCUGAGAGGAAGGUCCCCCACAUUGGAACUGAGACACGGUCCAAACUCCUACGGGAGGCAGCAGUGAGGAAUAUUGGUCAAUGGGCGAGAGCCUGAACCAGCCAAGUAGCGUGAAGGAUGACUGCCCUAUGGGUUGUAAACUUCUUUUAUAAAGGAAUAAAGUCGGGUAUGGAUACCCGUUUGCAUGUACUUUAUGAAUAAGGAUCGGCUAACUCCGUGCCAGCAGCCGCGGUAAUACGGAGGAUCCGAGCGUUAUCCGGAUUUAUUGGGUUUAAAGGGAGCGUAGAUGGAUGUUUAAGUCAGUUGUGAAAGUUUGCGGCUCAACCGUAAAAUUGCAGUUGAUACUGGAUAUCUUGAGUGCAGUUGAGGCAGGCGGAAUUCGUGGUGUAGCGGUGAAAUGCUUAGAUAUCACGAAGAACUCCGAUUGCGAAGGCAGCCUGCUAAGCUGCAACUGACAUUGAGGCUCGAAAGUGUGGGUAUCAAACAGGAUUAGAUACCCUGGUAGUCCACACGGUAAACGAUGAAUACUCGCUGUUUGCGAUAUACAGCAAGCGGCCAAGCGAAAGCGUUAAGUAUUCCACCUGGGGAGUACGCCGGCAACGGUGAAACUCAAAGGAAUUGACGGGGGCCCGCACAAGCGGAGGAACAUGUGGUUUAAUUCGAUGAUACGCGAGGAACCUUACCCGGGCUUAAAUUGCAGAUGAAUUACGGUGAAAGCCGUAAGCCGCAAGGCAUCUGUGAAGGUGCUGCAUGGUUGUCGUCAGCUCGUGCCGUGAGGUGUCGGCUUAAGUGCCAUAACGAGCGCAACCCUUGUUGUCAGUUACUAACAGGUUCCGCUGAGGACUCUGACAAGACUGCCAUCGUAAGAUGUGAGGAAGGUGGGGAUGACGUCAAAUCAGCACGGCCCUUACGUCCGGGGCUACACACGUGUUACAAUGGGGGGUACAGAGGGCCGCUACCACGCGGGUGGAUGCCAAUCCCCAAAACCUCUCUCAGUUCGGACUGGAGUCUGCAACCCGACUCCACGAAGCUGGAUUCGCUAGUAAUCGCGCAUCAGCCACGGCGCGGUGAAUACGUUCCCGGGCCUUGUACACACCGCCCGUCAAGCCAUGGGAGCCGGGGGUACCUGAAGUGCGUAACCGCGAGGAGCGCCCUAGGGUAAAACUGGUGACUGGGGCU
rnacentral:rRNA from 1 species